rnacentral:tRNA from 4 species
GCGGGUAUAAUUCAGUGGUAGAAUGACAGCCUUCCAAGCUGUAUAUGCGGGUUCGAUUCCCGCUACCCGCUCCA